rnacentral:misc_RNA from 1 species
UCCGUUUUGUCAACGGCAGUCCUAUUAGAGUGCUCUUGCGUAGCAACUAAUAGCAAGGGUUGCGCUCGUUGCGGGACUUAACCCAACAUCUCACGACACGAGCUGACGACAACCAUGCACCACCUGUCUCAACUUUCCCCGAAGGGCACCUAAUGUAUCUCUACUUCGUUAGUUGGAUGUCAAGACCUGGUAAGGUUCUUCGCGUUGCUUCGAAUUAAACCACAUACUCCACUGCUUGUGCGGGCCCCCGUCAAUUCCUUUGAGUUUCAACCUUGCGGCCGUACUCCCCAGGUGGGUGACUUAACAGGUUACCUACGGCACUGACCCCCGAACGGGAGCCAACACCUAGUCACCAUCGUUUACGGCUAGGACUAC